rnacentral:lncRNA from 1 species
AAAUUAAAAUUUUAACUUUUACUCACAUGUAGUGAUUCCGAUAAUUUUAGAAAUGAUGGAUCCACUUAAAAGCUGUGAAUCAUUUACCAUAUUUAGAAAGGUUUUGAACGAUUUACCUUUUUCAUAAAAAAAUUUAAAAAAUAGUGAAUCAUUUAUCGUCUUCUUAAUUUACCGCUUUUGGCAUAAUUAUUCACUGAGAUGCUAAGUUGGCAAGAGGAGACUUAUUUAGUCAAUUAAAUAUUUUUGAGAGUUAUUUUGCUAAUUAUAAAAUUUUAUAGAAUUGCUUAGAAAAAAAAAAGGUACUUUUGUUGCUCUCACAAUAGUAAAUACUACUGAAGGGGUCCGACUUUUCGCGGCGGGUUGAAACUUUCAGAGUAAUUGAAAGUUUGAUAGUGAGACUAUUUAGAUGUAUUGAAUGUUGGUGGAAAAAAGAAGAAGGAUCACACGCGCCGCGCUAGUGAGGAUGAAUAAGAACUUUUCAGGUGAGAAAAAAUAUUAGAGAUUUAUAUAGAUUAAUAGAUUAUUCUGGUAAUAUUAGUUCGCUUGUGAAAUUAGUGUGUUUCUAAUUAUUGUAUAUUAAAUAAAAAAUAGAAUUUAAAAAAUUUUAGUAUUUUGGAUCGGUGUUUUA